AUGUGUUUACUAAAAAUACACAGCGUCGCUUUGAAGAUGGUUCUGUGAGGUGUGUACCAAACCUUAUAUUGGUAUGUGUACUCACCCUAAUUUUCCUGCUAAAUUGGUAUCUUACUUAUCUGUCACCUGCGAGGGCGUUUAUUGCAUCUGUGGGCAAGCCCUUCCUAAUGUCAUAGCGUUUUGUGAUUUCCUGCGAUAACCGCCCAGAAAACAAACAAGUCUUCAAAGCGACGCUGUGUAUUUUUAGUAAACACAUAAUAUAAUAUUUUGAAUUACAACAAAAUUGUUAUUAUGUGUUGAAAGAAAAAUACACAGCGUCGCAGGAAUUUCUUCCUGGUGAAGACUCUAUGACAUUAGGAAGGGCUUGCCCACAGAUGCAAUAAACGCCCUCGCAGGUGACA
rnacentral:lncRNA from 1 species